rnacentral:snoRNA from 1 species
GAAUGAUGAAAGUUCCAGCUGGCACCAGUCUGAGAAAGACUUGUACUCUUUUUGCUGCGGAUAAGCUGCGAGGCAAUUAUUAGCUUCACAACACUGAU